AUCCAGUUGAUGAGUCCUAAAUAAAACGAAAUGCGUGUCCUGGAU
rnacentral:hammerhead_ribozyme from 1 species